rfam:Myotis brandtii contig224284, whole genome shotgun sequence.
GCCGGUGUGGCUCAGUGAAUAGAGCAUCAGCCCGAGGACUGAAGGCUUCCGGGUUCGAUUCCGGUCAAGGGCA